ensembl:lncRNA
CCACAUUUGGCUUGUAGACAUUCUCAACUAGCUACUGAUGUUGUUUUCUUUGUGUAAUUGGAUAAUUUUUCUUCCUUCUGCCCAUACAGAGUGUAAGCUGUCCCGCCCAGGCCCUCCUGCAACCAUAGUAACCAUUGAUGAAGAGAGUCCCAAUGGUACCGUCUUGGUGGAAAACAUGCAGAUAAACGGCCGUGCGCAGGAUCCAGGUCGAACCAUUUCGCUGACUCUGCUGGACAACUACGACUAUUGGGUGAUUUUGGAACCGGCCCAGCAGCGGCUGUAUCUCAACAGCACAGGACGCGUUCUGGACAGAGACCCCCCAAACUACAUCAUGACCAUAGUGGUGCAAGUCCAGUGCACCAACGAGCUGGUUGGUACUGUUAUUUUCCACGAGGUGCGGAUCGUCGUGAGGGACAGGAACGACAACAUCCCCCGCUUUCAGCAGCCGCGUUACUAUGUUGCCGUCAAUGAGCUCACGCCAGUCGGAACAACGAUUUUCACUGGAUUCUCAGGGAAUAAUGGCGCCACCGAUAUCGACGAUGGACCUAAUGGACACAUAGAAUACAGCGUCCUUUACAACCCCAAUGACCCGGAGUCCAACAAGACAGUAAGCGUUGGAAACACGCUUUCAGGGCACAUUAUCCUGGCAGAGAGGCUAAACUACGAGGAGAGGACACGUUACCUGGUUGUUGUCCAAGCUAAUGACCGAGCACCUUACCCACCCAACAGGCGAACGGCUACAACCACCCUGACCGUGGACGUUCUGGAUGGAGACGACCUGGGCCCCAUGUUCCUGCCGUGUGUGUUAGUGAACAACACGCGUGACUGCAACCCGCUCUCCUACCGCGCUGCUAUCCCUGAAUUCACUGAACCGAGCAAAUUGAACCCACUGAACGUGACCCCCCCGAUUCGUGCCGUGGACAUGGACAGGAACAUCCAGCCUCCAUCCAACAGACCCGGAAUUCUGUACUACAUCCUGGUUGCCACAUUUGCAGAGUAUUUCUCCCUGAACAAAACCACAGCGGAGCUGCGCGUUCUGCAACCAAUCAACAGAGACUUAUAUCAGAGGUUCACCCUCAUCAUCAAGGCUGAGCAGGACAACGGACACCCCCUCCCGGCCUACGCCGACCUCAUCAUCGAGAUCCUGGAUGAGAACAACCAGGCGCCGUACUUCCAGCUCGCCACCUAUCAGGGAUACGUGAGUGAGUCUUCGCCGGUGGGUACAACCAUCUCAGGCAGCUCAAACCUGACGACGCCCCUGGAAAUCAUCGCACUGGACAAUGACAUCGAGGAGACAAAAGACCCGUUGGUGAAGAUUUCCCUCGACAACUACGCCACGAUAUUUGGUGUGACUCCGACUGGCAUAGUGCGCUACCUGAGACUGGUUACACCUGUGGACCGGGAGAAGCAGAUGGCUUACACGUUCACGAUGGUGGCAUCGGAUGGUGUCCAGCAGAGCACCCCAGUGACUGUCAACAUCCUGGUCAUCGACGCCAAUGACAACACGCCCACAUUCGCCAAGGCCUCCUACAAUGUUGAAGUCUUCACCGACAUGCAGCCGGGGGAAACCGUUCUCCAGUUAACUGCAGCGGAUGCUGAUGAAGGAUUGAACGGCCUGGUGACGUAUGAGAUAUUGGCCGGGGCCCAGGGACACUUCAUCAUUAAUAAUCGCACAGGUCGCCUCACCGUGGCGCCAGGCGUGGCUUUAACUGUGGGACAGUCUUAUGCACUGACUGUCAAGGCCUCAGACGGGGCUCCAGAAACACAGCGAAGGAGCUCCAUCACCACCGUCUACAUUGAGGUUUUGCCACCCAAUAACCAGAGCCCGCCGCGCUUCCCCCUCCUCACCUACAGCCUGGAGGUCAGCGAGGCCAUGAGGAUCGGAGCGAUCCUGCUCAAUCUGCAGGUGAGAUUCUUUUCUGUAAAUGAGAUCGGGCUGUUACUUCUGGGGAAGCCUCUGGACAGAGAGAGCACAGAUCAGUACCGCCUGAUCGUCACAGCCUCCGAUGGGAACCCUGGAGGGACUUCCACCACCACGGUCGACAUUGUCGUCACAGAUGUCAACGACAACGAUCCCAAAUUUGACUUCGCCAUACCUGUUAACUUCACCGUCCGAGAAGAAGAGGCCGACCUUUUUGUGGGCCUUGUGAGGGCUACAGAUCCAGAUGCGGGGGCUAACGGCCAGGUGGGCUACCGGAUCAUAAAUCACCCCGACUUGUUUGUGAUCAGUGCCAAUGGCAGCAUCUACACGAAGGUGCCUCUGGACCGGGAGCUCCGGAGCCAGUAUGAUCUUGUUGUGGAGGCGUCGGACGGGGCUGUGGAUCCACGGCGGACCACCUUGACCCUCUCCAUCCAGGUCACAGAUAUUGAUGACAGCAGUCCGGUUUUCUCCCAGCAAAAUUACGUGGUGAAUGUUCCAGAAAACACGCCUGUGGGGACCGUCGUAUUGAAGCUAAGCGCAACAGACUCGGACCUCUUCUCCAAUGUCACCUACCGGAUCAGGACUGAGGCAGCCCGACAGCUGUUUUCUCUGAACCCUAUUACAGGGGAGCUGGCUGUGCUGCAGACGCUGGAUUUUGAGGACCUGGCAGCUUUGGGCAUUGGGACCUCUUAUGCUUUCCAGGUAGAGGCUAUAGACCAAGGAGGGAUCAUGCCCCCGGGGCAGGCAACUGUCACAGUCCGCAUCACGGUAGGAGACAUGAAUGACUUCUCACCCGUGUUUAGCCAAGACCUGUACAAAGGCAUGGUGGCACCCAAUGCAGAGAAAGGAACGGUGAUAACAACGGUGUUAGCGGAGGAUCGGGACCCUCCGGAUACCCCAGCCAGCUUUGUCCGCUACCGAGUUGACCUGGACAGGUCUCCCUACAGCGGCAGCAUCUUUGACGUGGAGGAGGAAACGGGAAGAAUCGUCACUAAGGUCAACCUCAACGAAGAACCCAGCGUCACCUUUAAGUUGUUUAUCAUCGCCUUUGACGACGGCGAACCGGUGAAGACCAACAGCACUCUGGUGGAGAUCACUGUCCUCCAGCCCUCUCGGAUCCCCAUCUUCACCCAGGAGGAGUACAGGUUUCCUCCAGUAAGCGAGCUGGCUCCAUUCGGCACCCCGGUGGGGACGGUUCUGGCUGCUGCUGUCAAUCAAAGCAUCUUCUACUCCAUCGUAGGAGGCAAUGAUUUAGGUCAUUUUCAGAUCAACAACAAGACAGGCGUCAUCUCCACAGCCAAACCUCUGGACUACGAAAAUGUGACAAGCUACGUCCUGCGGGUGCAGGCGGACUCCAUGGAGGUCGUCAUGUCCAACCUGCGCGUUCCCUCUAAAACUAACACAGCCAAGGUGUUCAUCGAAGUGCAGGAUGAGAAUGACCACCCACCCGUCUUCUCCAGGAAGCUCUACAUCGGCGGCGUGACAGAGGACACCAAGAUCUUCAGCUCCGUGCUCAAGAUAGCCACUGACAAGGACACCGGGAAUUACAGCGAGAUGGCGUACCGCCUGAUUAUUCCGCCCACCCAAGAGGGCCAGGACAGCUUCGUCAUCGAGACCUACACAGGCAUCAUCAAGUCGGCCAUCAUGUUUCGGAACAUGCGCAGGUCCUACUUCAAGUUUCAAGUCAUUGCCACCGACGACUACGGAGCAGGGCUCAGCAGCAGUGCUGAAGUGGUGGUUUCUGUGGUCAACGCCUUGGACAUGCAAGUUGUUGUGUCCACCGUGCCGCCCACUUUAGUGGAGGAGAAGAAGGACGAGCUCAUUAGUAUUUUGGAGCGCCACGUCCAGGACCAGAUUCCGGGUGCCAAGGUGAUAGUAGAGUCCAUCGGCCCCCGUCGUCAUGGCGAUGGCUUUGAGCUAGAGGACUACACUAAAUCCGACCUGAUGGUCUACGCCAUUGACCCCCUCACAAACAGGGCCAUCUCUCCCAAGGAGCUCUUCAAAUUCCUCGAUGGCAACGUCCUGGAAAUCAAUAAGGAGUUCCAGCCGUAUCUGGGGGAAGGCGGCCGCAUCCUGGAGAUCCGCUCCCCCGACAUCGUGGCCAGCGUGAAGAAGGCCGCCCAGGCCGUGGGCUACACGGAGGGGGCGCUCCUGGCCCUGGCCAUCAUCAUCAUCCUCUGCUCGCCUGGCUCGUGCCCACGUGCGUGCGCGCCGCUCUCCCCCUCCCUUCAUCUGUUAUCGUCAGCCUGA